rnacentral:lncRNA from 1 species
UUGAAAGGCAGGAAGUAACAAUUCUGGGUCACUAUCUUUUCCAAGCUCUUCUUUGAGUUUUAGUAACAGAUUGGUUGCUUUAUUCUUUGAGAUCUGAAAAUGAAUGAAGAAAUUGGUGGCAGUGAAGUGCACGAGAUUAUGUGCCAUGCCAUUUGUUCUCAUAGAAUAAUUGAGGAAAUUAGAAAAAAAGGCAAAAUUCAAUGUUUUCUUAAAAAAAUGACUACAAAACUCUUUGCAAGAGUUCACAGCAAACUUCAAAUAAAUAGAGAAGAUGUCAACUACAAAAUUGCUAAGGGAGGAACUUAGGACACUGACUCUGAGGGCUUAGGUGUUAGCAGAUUAGGGGCACAUGAGUCUGGAUUUUGGGGCUUGUCUUCCAUGAUUGGGAGAAAAAGGAAAGUCUGAGUGAGAAACACAGUGAGAGCCAGAGUAUCCAGGAUCGUCUGCAACAUUAUACAUUACAGGAGGACUCGACUACAAGAAAACUCAGUGUUGCUGAGAGCACCCAAGAGGAAGCAGAGGAGGACUCAAGUACAAGAAAACUCAGUGUUGCUGAGAGCACCCAAGAGGAAAAAGAGGAGGACUCAAGUACAAGAAAACUCACUGUUGCUGAGAGCACCCAAGAGGAAACAGAGGAGGACUCAUCUUCAAGAAAACUCAGUGCUGCUGAGAGUACCCAAGAGGAAAAAGAGGAGGACUCAUCUUCAAGAAAACUCAGUGCUGCUGAGAGUACCCAAGAGGAAAAAGAGGAGGACUCAUCUUCAAGAAAACUCAGUGCUGCUGAGAGUACCCAAGAGGAAAAAGAGGAGGACUCAUCUUCAAGAAAACUCAGUGCUGCUGAGAGUACCCAAGAGGAAAAAGAGGAGGACUCAUCUUCAAGAAAACUCAGUGCUGCUGAGAGUACCCAAGAGGAAAAAGAGGAGGACUCAUCUUCAAGAAAACUCAGUGCUGCUGAGAGUACCCAAGAGGAAAAAGAGGAGGACUCAUCUUCAAGAAAACUCAGUGCUGCUGAGAGUACCCAAGAGGAAAAAGAGGUGAGCAGAAAUAACAGUCACAAAUUGGAGUGUAGGGAAGACACAUUUGGACAAUUAUUCUACAAAGUGGCUACCCAUUCUUUGUCACUGAAUUAUCACUCUACAAUAGGAAUAAAAGCCCCGAGUUACUAGGAUCAAGAUGAUUCUUGACCUUUCUGGUCAUCAUUCAACUGUAUUUACCCUCCUACCAAGCACAAAAAAGCUUUGUGAGGAAUUUUAGGACUCCUGCUCAGGGAUUUGGUGUUAGCAGUUUAGGGCACAUAAUUCUCGAUUUCUGGGACUUGCCUUCCAUGAUGAGGAGGAAAAGGAAAGUGUGAGAAACAGAAUGAGAGAGAGUGCCCAGGAUAGCCUGAAACCUUAUACAUUACAGGAGGACUCAUCUUCAAGAAAACUCAGUGCUGCUGAGAGUACCCAAGAGGAAAAAGAGGUGAGCAGAAGUAACAGUCACAAAUUGGAGUGUAGGGAGGACACAUUUGGACAAUUAUUCUACAAAGUGGCUACCCAUUCCUUGUCACUGAAUUAUCACUCUACAAUAGGAAUAAAAGUCAAAAGUACUUUGACCA